CGGAGGGGGCUAGCGUUGUUCGGAAUUACUGGGCGUAAAGCGCACGUAGGCGGCUUUGUAAGUUAGAGGUGAAAGCCCGGAGCUCAACUCCGGAAUUGCCUUUAAGACUGCAUCGCUAGAACGUCGGAGAGGUAAGUGGAAUUCCGAGUGUAGAGGUGAAAUUCGUAGAUAUUCGGAAGAACACCAGUGGCGAAGGCGACUUACUGGACGACUGUUGACGCUGAGGUGCGAAAGCGUGGGGAGCAAACAGGA
rnacentral:rRNA from 1 species